rnacentral:rRNA from 1 species
AUUGAACGCUGGCGGCAUGCCUUACACAUGCAAGUCGAACGGCAGCACGGGGGCAACCCUGGUGGCGAGUGGCGAACGGGUGAGUAACAUAUCGGAACAUACCCUAGAGUGGGGGAUAACGUAGCGAAAGUUACGCUAAUACCGCAUACGAUCUAAGGAUGAAAGUGGGGGAUCUUCGGACCUCAUGCUCAUGGAGUGGCCGAUAUCUGAUUAGCUAGUUGGUGAGGUAAAGGCUCACCAAGGCGACGAUCAGUAGCUGGUUUGAGAGAACGACCAGCCACACUGGAACUGAGACACGGUCCAGACUCCUACGGAGGCAGCAGUGGGAAUUUUGGACAAUGGGGCAACCUGAUCCAGCAAUGCCGCGUGAGUGAAGAAGGCC